UCCUUGGUGGGUGCAAGCACUGACUUAGGUCCCAGGGAUAUGCCAGUGGACAAGGCAAUGAGGAGCCACCUGUCAAGGGGCUUACAUUCUGGUGAGAGAGAUGGGAAAGUUCCAGAAGGAGAUUUCCUCUCUCUGACAUGAAGCUUAACGCAAAAAAAGAAAAAGAAAAAGAGAAUCAACUUAAAAUAUCACCAUAUAUCGUGAUCGACUCCUCGUACGUGAAAUGCAGCGCCUUACCGUGGAGGGCCUGUCUCGGGCGCACUCGGGGUGUUUCGGCCCUGCAGCAGAAUUACCCACCUCGCCACCCCUGGCGAGCUCCUUCCAUCUCUGAGACCCGCGGGGCCUGCCUGGUGGGGAAGUUUAGACGCACCUAGACAGCUGCCCGCGUUGGCCAGCUGAAAAUUUGUCAGAGAAGAAAGGCAUUAAGCCUGUCACAGCAGAUAAAGAUCAGAUGCUUCAUUUCAAACAGAAGCAGCAAACACUCCACGGUGGACUCCAUUAACUGCGAGCACGCCACUCAGACAGACGCGAGGACCGAGACCAGGGCCAGAGGGGGGCACGUAAACCCAAAUUCCACCACCGUGUUUGUAGCGACGGAGGAUACUGGACCUGGGACACAUACAACAAAUACAAAUAAAUUCCAACCCUUCCCCGUGUCCCUUCUUUGUUUCCUUUUAUUAAGAGCGUGAUUUCACCAAACUAAUACAUCUAGCAUAUUUUGUCUGAAAAACAAAUUAGAUUAUAUUCAACUAUUUACAUGCAACUAAAGGCUUGAGAAGAUGGUUCUGGAAAAAAUAUCUGAUGUAAAAACUUAAGCCAUCUCACGAUACCUAGGUGUCCUUAGAAAAGCCAGCUCCAUGUGGGUGCAUUUCAGAAGCCUCCUGGUUAGUCUGCAGUUUUUACUCAUUAAAA